GACGAACGCUGGCGGCGUGCUUAACACAUGCAAGUCGAACGGAAAGGCCCUGCUUUUGUGGGGUGCUCGAGUGGCGAACGGGUGAGUAACACGUGAGUAACCUGCCCUUGACUUUGGGAUAACUUCAGGAAACUGGGGCUAAUACCGGAUAGGAGCUCCUGCUGCAUGGUGGGGGUUGGAAAGUUUCGGCGGUUGGGGAUGGACUCGCGGCUUAUCAGCUUGUUGGUGGGGUAGUGGCUUACCAAGGCUUUGACGGGUAGCCGGCCUGAGAGGGUGACCGGCCACAUUGGGACUGAGAUACGGCCCAGACUCCUACGGGAGGCAGCAGUGGGGGAUAUUGCACAAUGGGCGGAAGCCUGAUGCAGCAACGCCGCGUGCGGGAUGACGGCCCUCGGGUUGUAAACCGCUUUCGCCUGUGACGAAGUGUGAGUGACGGUAAUGGGUAAAGAAGCACCGGCUAACUACGUG
rnacentral:rRNA from 1 species